GCACGCAUCGCGCACGCCGGCGCCUUCCUUUGGGAGCCCGGGCCGGUGGCGCGGGCGCUCGGCAAAUGGAGUGCGUGCUCGCGGAAGCGCUGCUCUCGCAGAGCCGGGACCCCCGGGCCCUGCUUGGGGCGCUGUGCCAAGGGGAGGCAUCCGCGGAGCGCGUGGAGACGCUGUGCUUCCUUCUGCAGCGGCUCGAGGACGAGGAGGCGCGCGGCAGCGGGGGCGCAGGCGCGCUCCCGGAGGCGGCGCGCGAGGUGGCUGCAGGGUACCUCGUGCCACUGCUGCGGAGCCUGCGCGGACGCCCCGCGGGCGGCCCGGACCCCGGUCUGCAGCCUCGCCACCGCCGGCGCGUGCUGAGGGCGGCGGGCGCGGCCCUGCGCUCGUGCGUCCGCCUGGCCGGGCGUCCGCAGCUGGCGGCCGCGCUGGCUGAGGAGGCGCUGCGCGAUCUGCUCGCCGGGUGGCGCGCGCCUGGUGCCGAGGCUGCCGUGGAGGUGCUAGCAGCCGUCGUGCCCUGUUUGCGGCCCCGCGAGGACGGGCCGCUACUGGAGCGCGUGGCGGGGGCCGCCGUCGCCCUGGCGCUGGGCGGGGGCGGGGACGGGGAUGAGGCUGGGCCUGCCGAGGACGCGGCGGCGCUGGUGGCCGGGCGACUGCUGCCAGUGCUGGUCCAGUGCGGCGGGGCGGCGCUGCGGGCCGUGUGGGGCGGGCUGGCCGCGCCCGGGGCGUCCCCGGGGUCCGGCCGCGUAGAGGAGAAGCUGCUGGUCCUGAGCGCCCUGGCCGAGAAGCUCUUGCCCGAGCCCGGCGGCGACCGCGCCCGCGGCGCGCGCGAGGCGGGCCCGGACGCCCGGCGCUGCUGGCGCUUCUGGAGGACGGUGCAGGCGGGGCUGGGCCAGGCGGACGCCCUGACGCGCAAGCGAGCGCGCUACCUGCUGCAGAGGGCGGUAGAGGUGUCGGCGGAGCUGGGGGCCGACUGCACCUGCGGGCCCCAGGAAGGAAACGGCCCAAGUCUGUUUUGGUGGUCUGAGAAGAAAAAAGAUGAGCUUCUAAAGUUUUGGGAAAAUUAUAUUUUAAUUAUGGAGACUUUAGAAGGAAAUCAGAUACAUGUUAUAAAGCCAGUUUUACCAAAGCUAAACAAUCUGUUUGAAUAUGCGGUGUCAGAGGAAAAUGGAUGUUGGCUCUUUCACCCAUCCUGGCAUAUGUGUAUUUAUAAAAGAAUGUUUGAAAGUGAAAACAAAAUCCUGACCAAAGAAGGUGUUAUCCAUUUUUUGGAGCUGUAUGAAACAAAGAUUCUUCCAUUUUCACCAGAAUUUUCUGAGUUUAUUAUUGGACCAUUAAUGGAUGCGCUUUCAGAGAGCUCUCUGUAUAGCAGGUCCCCAGGCCAGCCAAUAGGAAGCUGUUCUCCAUUGGGACUGAAAUUGCAGAAGUUUUUAGUCACUUAUAUUUCUCUUCUUCCAGAAGAAAUAAAGAGUAGCUUCCUAUUGAAGUUUAUUCGGAAGAUGACAAGUAGGCAUUGGUGUGCUGUUCCCAUUUUGUUUCUAUCUAAGGCUUUGGCAAAUGUCCCAAGACAUAAGGCCCUGGGUAUAGAUGGGCUUCUUGCUCUCAGGGAUGUUAUUCAUUGCACUAUGAUCACACAUCAGAUUCUCCUGAGAGGGGCAGCCCAAUGCUACCUUCUUCAAACAGCUAUGAAUUUGCUAGAUGUGGAGAAAGUGUCACUUUCUGAUGUCUCAACUUUUCUCAUGUCUCUGAGACAAGAGGAAUCUUUAGGACGAGGAACUUCAUUGUGGACAGAGCUGUGUGACUGGCUACGUGUUAAUGAAAGCUAUUUUAAGCCAUCCCCUACGUGUAGCUCCAUUGGACUUCACAAGACAUCUUUAAAUGCCUAUGUAAAGAGUGUUGUUCAAGAGUAUGUUAAGUCAUCUGCUUGGGAAACAGGAGAAAACUGCUUUAUGCCUGAUUGGUUUGAAGCCAAGCUUGUUUCUCUGAUGGUCUUGCUGGCUGUGGAUGUGGAAGGAAUGAAGACUCCAUAUAGCGGAAAGCAGAGAACAGAGAAUGUAUUGCGGAUAUUCUUAGACCCUCUUCUGGAUGUGCUUAUGAAGUUUGGUACCAAUGCCUACAUGCCCGUGCUGAAGACUGACAGAUGCCUCCAGUUGCUGGUGAAGCUGUUGAACACAUGCAGGCUGAAAGGUUCCAGUGCCCAAGAUGAUGAGGUGUCUACUGUUCUUCAGAACUUUUUCAUGUCUACUACAGAGAGCAUUUCUGAAUUUAUUCUCAGAAGACUUACUAUGAAUGAGCUAAAUAGUGUUUCAGAUCUGGACCGUUGCCAUUUAUACCUGAUGGUGUUAACUGAGCUUAUAAAUCUGCAUUUGAAGGUUGGGUGGAAAAGGGGUAACCCUAUUUGGAGAGUUAUUUCUCUUUUGAAAAAUGCGUCCAUUCAGCAUCUUCAAGAGAUGGACAGUGGACAGGAGCCAACAGUUGGAAGUCAGAUUCAGAGAGUAGUGAGCAUGGCUGCCUUGGCCAUGGUGUGUGAGGCCAUAGACCAGAAGCCUGAGCUGCAGCUGGACUCUCUCCAUGCUGGGCCCCUGGAAAGCUUCCUUUCCUCUCUUCAGCUCAAUCAGACACUGCAGAAGCCCCACGCAGAGGAGCAGAGCAGUUAUGCUCACCCCUCCGAGUGCAGCAGUGUUUUGGAAGAAUCGUCUUCUUCCCAAGGAUGGGGAAAAAUAGUUGCACAAUAUAUUCAUGAUCAAUGGGUGUGCCUCUCUUUCCUGUUGAAAAAAUAUCACACCCUUAUACCAACCACAGGGAGUGAAAUUCUGGAACCGUUUCUACCUGCUGUUCAGAUGCCAAUAAGGACUUUGCAGUCUGCACUAGAAGCCCUCACAGUUCUUUCUUCUGAGCAAGUUUUACCAGUGUUCCAUUGCUUGAAAGUGUUGGUUCCCAAGCUUCUGACUUCCUCUGAAUCACUCUGCAUAGAGUCUUUUGACAUGGCUUGGAAAAUUAUAUCUUCUUUAAGCAACACUCAGCUGAUAUUCUGGCCUAAUUUAAAAGCUUUUGUUCAGUUUGUUUUUGAUAACAAAGUUCUUACCAUUGCUGCCAAAAUCAAGGGCCAGGCAUAUUUCAAAAUAAAAGAGAUUAUGUACAAGAUAAUUGAAAUGUCUGCUAUAAAGACUGGAGUCUUCAAUACACUGAUAAGUUACUGCUGUCAGUCUUGGAUAGUGUCUGCUUCAAAUGUGUCCCAAGGAUCUUUAUCAAGUGCUAAAAAUUAUAGCGAACUUAUCCUUGAGGCUUGUAUAUUUGGAACUGUGUUUAGGCGUGAUCAAAGACUUGUUCAGGAUGUACAGACCUUCAUAGAAAACCUUGGACAUGACUGUGCGGCAAAUAUUGUUAUGGAAAAUACUAAGAGAGAAGAUCAUUAUGUGAGAAUUUGUGCUGUCAAAUUCCUGUGUUUAUUAGAUGGCUCCAAUAUGUCCCACAAGUUGUUUAUGGAGGAUCUUGCAAUCAAGCUAUUAGAUAAAGAUGAAUUAGUGUCCAAGUCCAAAAAACGCUACUAUGUGAAUUCUCUACAGCACAGAGUGAAAAACCGAGUGUGGCAGACUCUGCUGGUACUUUUCCCUAGACUUGAUCAGAAUUUCUUGAAUGGAAUUAUUGACAGGAUUUUCCAGGCUGGUUUCACCAACAAUCAAGCAUCCAUAAAAUAUUUUAUAGAAUGGAUUAUUAUAUUGAUUCUUCAUAAAUUCCCUCAAUUUCUUCCAAAGUUCUGGGAUUGUUUUUCUUAUGGUGAAGAAAAUCUUAAAACAAGCAUUUGUACAUUUUUAGCAGUUUUAUCACAUUUGGACAUUAUUACUCAAAAUAUUCCAGAAAAGAAACUAAUUCUGAAGCAAGCCCUUAUUGUUGUGCUGCAGUGGUGUUUCAAUCACAAUUUUAGUGUUCGACUGUAUGCUUUAGUUGCUCUUAAGAAACUCUGGACUGUGUGUAAAGUGUUAAGUGUUGAAGAAUUUGAUGCCCUGACUCCUGUGAUUGAAUCCAGCCUCCAUCAAGUGGAAAGCAUGCACGGAGCAGGGAAUGCCAAGAAGAAUUGGCAACGCAUUCAAGAGCAUUUCUUUUUUGCAACAUUUCACCCACUCAAGGAUUAUUGUCUGGAGGCAGUGUCUGGCUUGUAAACAAUGGAAGGGAAUAUUUAACUCUAAACAGAAAUCUGUUCUGACAUUAAAAGGAAAUGAGUGAGAACAUUUGUGCAGCGCCCAGAAUGCUUUGUCCGGCAUCUUUCUGCAGGACUCCUCUAGUCACUCCCUAGUGUUAAGUCAACCUUUUUCUAUUCAGUCCUCCAACAGGAGUAAGUCCUUUGCCUCCUUCCUGCCCUCCCUCAUCCUUACCUUUGACCACCUCACUCUCAUAUGUUUUAUGAUUUAUUCUCCAGUCAUGAAAUGAAUUAAAAGUGUAUGUGUAAAUAAAAUAAUGGGGCUUAAUUGUUCACAGGAACUGUAUCUCUUCAUGUAUUUGUUUUUUUUGUUUUUAUUUUAUUAUUAUUAUACUUUAAGUUUUAGGUUACAUGUGCACAAUGUGCAGGUUAGUUACAUAUGUAUACAUGUGCCAUGCUGGUGUGCUGCACCCAUUAACUCGUCAUUUAGCAUUAGUUAUAUCUCCUAAAGCUAUCCCUCCCCCCUCCCCUCACCCCACAACAGUCCCCAGAGUGUAAUGUUCCCCUUCCUGUGUCCAUGUGUUCUCAUUGUUCAGUUUCCAUGUGUGAGUGAGAAUAUGCGGUGUUUGGUUUUUCGUUCUUGCGAUAGUUUACUGAGAAUGAUGAUUUCCAAUUUCAUCCACGUCCCUACAAAGGACAUGAACUCAUCAUUUUUUAUGGCCUCAUAGUAUUCCAUGGUGUAUAUGUGCCACAUUUUCUUAAUCCAGUCUAUCAUUGUUGGACAUUUGGGUUGGUUCCAAGUCUUUGCUAUUGUGAAUAGUGCCGCAGUAAACAUACGUGUGCAUGUGUCUUUAUAGCAGCAUGAUUUAUAGUCCUUUGGGUAUAUACCCAGUAAUGGGAUGGCUGGGUCAAAUGGUAUUUCUAGUUCUAGAUCCCUGAGGAAUUGCCACACUGACUUCCACAAUGGUUGAACUAGUUUACAGUCUUCAUGUAUUUGGAGCUGUACUUGGUGCCCCCUACUUGAUGCCCCCUUAAUCAACAUGUAGUCGUGAUCAUUGUGCCAGUUUAAGUUUGCACAGAUAUAGCUAGCGUGAAGAAAACCAUAUUCAUUCUAAAACCUUUCAUGAAGACAUGUGCAUUGCUGCUAAGAGUAUUGUUUCAUUUUUAAGUUGCCUGUUACUUGGACCUCUGCUUCCUAUGUACUUUUUUCACUGUUGGUCAUUUUUAUGGUGCAGUUCUUUUAGUAGGUAAGAAAAGCAAAGGAGGAUUGCUUAUGCGAUGACCGUUUACAGUGGUGUCAGACUAUGCCGUUUUCAUGAACACUUUAAUAUGCUGUUGUAAUCUGAUUUUAUCCUCGUCUUACAAAUGAGGAAGUUGAAGCCAAGAAAGGCUGAAUCACUUGCCUAAGGUCACACAACUAAUUAUAUUAGUCAAACCAGAAUUCAGAUUCUAAAUUUAUCUAAUGGGUACGAGAGUAAAAGACUUGUCAUGAAAAGAGCUUGAACUUGAUUGCCUUUGGAGGUAUUUAGUUGUCAGUAAAUUGCACUUAUCCAAAUACUGUCCAUCAUUAGAACUGAUUACUUCUGAAACACUGUUUUUAUUAGGCACAUACUGGUUUAUUACACACAGUUAGAAGUACCAGAGUACAAGUUCUGCCUCCUCUCAGGGAUUCCCUAAAUUAAUCCCCUAAUUUCUGAGAAGAUGAGAAAUAUAUAUAGACAGUUGCUAUAAGAUAUAAAUGAAAGUAUAUAGUUUGAUCAGAUGUAAUAGUUUGGAGAAUAUAUCAUUAAUAAUUAAGUUGUAUUUUAAAUGUUAUAUAUUUCUUUGUUAUUUUUAAGGGAAGAAAUUUAGAUUUUAUAAUUCUCUUUUCAGACCGUAUUUUACAUCCUUCCACGCCUUUCAGGCCUUAUUGAAGAUGAAUGGAUCACCAUUGAUAAAUUUACCAGAUUCACUGAUGUUCCUU